AUGUCUGGCAACAAUGUGGAGUUGGUGUGUUGGAACGUGAGAGGGCUUAAUAGCCCGGCCAAGAAAAAGGCCCUUAGAGAAUUUGUUAACUCUAUUAAGGCUGAUAUCAUUUGUAUCCAUGAGAGCAAAUUGGCCGUGGUGGAUCGCUUUACUGUUCUGCAAUGUCUUGGGCCGGCGUAUGAUGGCUUCGCUUAUCUUCCGGCCAAUGUGACACGUGGAGGCAUUUUGCUAGCGUGGAAGUCUAGUCUUGUCCACAUAUCUAACCUAGUCAAUGACUCAAACUUCAUCACGAGCUAUGUUACUCCCCUGGUGGGAUCGCCCUGGUGGAUAUCGGUGGUGUAUGGACCACAGGAGGACGCGGAGAAAAUUGCCUUUCUUGAUGAGUUGGUGGCAAGGCGUGCACUUUUCCCGGGACCUUGGAUGGUAAUUGGCGAUUUCAACCUCAUCCUUUGCGCUUCUGACAAGAGCAACGCCAACAUCGACAGGAGAAUGAUGUGA
rnacentral:rRNA from 1 species